rnacentral:rRNA from 1 species
AACGAACGCUGGCGGCAUGCCUAACACAUGCAAGUCGAACGAGACCUUCGGGUCUAGUUGCGCACGGGUGCGUAACGCGUGGGAACCUGCCAUUAGGUUCGGUAUAACUCCCCGAAAGGGGUGCUAAUACCGGAUAAUGUCUUCUGACCAAAGAUUUAUCGCCUUUGGUUGGGCCCGCGUUGGAUUAGCUAGUUGGUAGGGUAAUAGCCUACCAAGGCGACGAUGCAUAGCUGGUCUGAGAAGAUGAUCAGCCACACUGGGACAGAGACACGGCCCAGACUCAUAAGGGAGGGAGGAGUGGAGAAUAUUGGAAAAGGGGAGAAAGCGUGAGCGAGCAAUGGCGCGUGAGUAAUGAAGGCCUUAGGGGUGUAAAGCUCUUUUACCAGGGAUGAUAAUGACAGUACCGGGAGAAUAAGCUCCGGCUAACUCCGUG